CUACGCGAGGCAGCAGUGAGGAAUAUUGGGCAAUGGGCGAGAGCCUGACCCAGCAACGCCGCGUGGAGGACGAAGACCUUCGGGUUGUAAACUCCUUUUCUGGGGGAAGAGAAAGGACGGUACCCCAGGAAUAAGUCACGGCUAACUACGUGCCAGCAGCCGCGGUAAAACGUAGGUGGCAAGCGUUAUCCGGAUUUACUGGGUGUAAAGCGCGUGCAGGCGGUUCAGAAAGUUGGAUGUAAAAGCUCCCGGCUCAACUGGGAGAGGUCGUUCAAAACUACUGGGCUAGAGGAUGGCAGAGGGAGGUGGAAUUCCGGGAGUAGUGGUGAAAUGCGUAGAUAUCCGGAGGAACACCAGUGGCGAAAGCGGCCUCCUGGGCCAUAACUGACGCUCAGACGCGAAAGCUAGGGUAGCAAACGGGAUUAGAUACCCGUGUAGUCC
rnacentral:rRNA from 1 species